GCGUGCGACCUGACGAAAGAAACACAUGCAGGAGUGCUAUAUUAAGUUACCACCCAACUAACAUAGCACAUCACUGACUUAAUUCGUCUAUGCCCUAGACGUUCCAACACACACCGGAUCAAGCAUCACAAAAUCCCUCUCCUGUAAUGACAGGGCUCGACCCUACCGUUAUUUCUCGUACACAUGAUUAUCUCAAGUAACACAACCGAGAUAACCGCCCGGGCAAUGAGUCACAAGACUUACGUGGUGUGUUAUCGAAACAUCUUCCUCAGCCCCUCACGUUAAUCCAUAUUGGUCCAAGC
rnacentral:lncRNA from 1 species